GGAAGGGAAGGGAAGGGAAGGGAAGGGAAGGGAAGGGAAGGGAAGGGAAGGGAAGGGAAGGUGUGAGGAGAUCGCACCUUUUGGAGCAAAGUAACUCCCUGUGCCAAACCAAGGCUGCACUGAGGAAAUAGCCUGCAGCAAGGACAGAUUUAUCCCUCCUGAUUCCUUCAUGAGCUCAUUCAGACUCCAGCUCUAAGCCAGAUAGGUUUGCUCCCCCUGCUCCCACCCCCUGACACCCCCUCUUUUCUAAGUGGCAUUUUAGGGAAUUUUUAUAUGUAUUAAGCAAGUACUUGAAUGAAAUCUAAUUUUAGGGGAUUCCUAUGGAGCUGGGUGCUAGCAUCUUGCAGCAUUGCAGGGGUCACAUAAGAGAAACAAUUGUCUAGUUUUAAAGCUUUAAUAGGAAAACCAAACCAAAACAGAAAGAGAAACAGCAACAGAAACUGAAUAGAACAGAAAAGCAAGAGGAAAAGAAGGAAAAAAGAAAAAGUGGACAAAAAGGCAAUCUUUAAAGGCAGUAAGGUGUGACGCUCCAGACUGGCAGCUUGGCAAGAAAGAGCCCAUGGAUACCAACACAGAGGAAUCUGGAGGGCUCACUCUGACAGGCCGUCAGUAUUGGGAACAAAAGAAAUGAGACAUUUUUUUUUUUACAUAUUGCAGGCAUAUGGUCCCAAGACCAGCAGAAAUAUAUUUAAUUACUGAUCUUUGUGUGUUAAGAAGAAAUAAUGUACCAAUAGCAGUACCUUAUUUUCCCCCCCUCUAGAUUAUAACAAAGUGAAUUAAAAGAGGCCUUUAGCACAUACUCGGUUAAUAAUGUUGCAUUUCGGAUCCAUUUACAUUUGCAAAUAGAAUCUGAUCACUUAA